GACUUCGUAGCUCAACUGGAUAGAGUGUCGGUUUCCGGAACCGAAGGUUGCGGUUCGAUCCUGCCGAGGUCA
rnacentral:tRNA from 1 species